UACAGAGGGUGCGAGCGUUGUUCGGAAUUAUUGGGCGUAAAGGGCUCGUAGGCGGCCAACUAAGUCAUACGUGAAAUCCCUCGGCUUAACCGGGGAACUGCGUCUGAUACUGGAUGGCUUGAGUUCGGGAGAGGGAUGCGGAAUUCCAGGUGUAGCGGUGAAAUGCGUAGAUAUCUGGAGGAACACCGGUGGCGAAGGCGGCAUCCUGGACCGAUACUGACGCUGAUGAGCGAAAGCCAGGGGAGCAAACAGG
rnacentral:rRNA from 1 species